ensembl:ncRNA H08J11.4 ncRNA
UUUAUCUAAUAGUAAGUGUUAACCUUCAAUUCUUUCGCUCUAUACAGAACCUCAUAAAUCAGAAGGUGUGAUGGUGAUGGCAUUGAAAAUUGUAUAAGGAGAAACACAAACGAAAUGAAAUCUGCGUAAGAUCAUAGUUGUAGGCUCUACAAUUUGAUUGACAGGCGGUUUGGAUUAAUCUACCUUUUCGG